AGUGAACGCUGGCGGUAGGCCUAACACAUGCAAGUCGAACGGCAGCGCAGUAAGAGCUUGCUCUUACGGGUGGCGAGUGGCGGACGGGUGAGGAAUACAUCGGAAUCUACUUUUUCGUGGGGGAUAACGUAGGGAAACUUACGCUAAUACCGCAUACGACCUACGGGUGAAAGCAGGGGAUCUUCGGACCUUGCGCGAUUGAAUGAGCCGAUGUCGGAUUAGCUAGUUGGCGGGGUAAAGGCCCACCAAGGCGACGAUCCGUAGCUGGUCUGAGAGGAUGAUCAGCCACACUGGAACUGAGACACGGUCCAGACUCCUACGGGAGGCAGCAGUGGGGAAUAUUGGACAAUGGGCGCAAGCCUGAUCCAGCCAUACCGCGUGGGUGAAGAAGGCCUUCGGGUUGUAAAGCCCUUUUGUUGGGAAAGAAAAGCAGCAGGUUAAUACCCCGCUGUUCUGACGGUACCCAAAGAAUAAGCACCGGCUAACUUCG
rnacentral:rRNA from 1 species